AGCGCAGGCGCGGCGGAGGAAUGUCGGUGGUGUUCGUGCCGGAACGGCUGCGGGGCAAGGCGGAGGUGAACCAGGAGACGCUGCAGCGGCUGCUGGAGGAGAACGACCAGCUGAUCCGCUGCAUCGUGGAGUACCAGAGCAAGGGCCGCGCCACCGACUGCGUGCAGUACCAGCAUAUCCUGCACAGAAACCUCAUUUAUUUAGCCACAAUUGCAGAUGCGACGCCACCCAGCGCGCAGAAGACUACAGAGUGACUGCACGUACUCAGCUGCGGCACUUUAUAGAGUUACAGAAGGGCUUUAGUUUAGAUUGCCACUGUGAGAGGGAGGUGUAGCCACACAAGGCAGAAGCUUUAAAAUACAAAAUGUACAAUUCCAGUUCAGAAGCAUUAGCUAUUCACAGAAGCACUGCAAUAAGGCAGCGACGAGGUCUGGCCCUGAGAACAUGGAGAACAAGCUGUCCCCAUUGGCUGAGGAGGUCUCAUCACUCGAGCUGGCAGAAUCUCCUUGAGUACCAGACCAGCUGUUUGUCACAUCGCUAAUGUAUUAAACGAAUCUUCUGACAUCACCGGGUUUGGACUAUUUUGGAUGGAUUACUGUCCCUCAAACACUGUCUGCUGGGGAAACACUAUCUGCCUGGACAGGGUAAGGUAAACAAAGCUAAUGAAUUGUUUGUCUUAGGUUGAUGGUGUGAUGCAAAAGGAAAAAAACCAAACAAACUACCACACCUUGACAACACAACCUUUAGAGACAGCUAUGUAGAGGAUAGGAAGUUCACUAAGUCAACAAUGCUUUAAGGCACAAUCAGGUUUUACAUAUUACCGAGCACGAUAAGCAGUAUUAACUGUUUCCAAUGCUGAAAAUCAUACCAGUUUAACACUGCUCACAUUAGGAUUUCUUUUAGAGAAACAUAUUUAGCAUAGAUAUAGCAUGCAAGAUGCCCCACAUUCAUACAAUUUAUAUUCUCAUCACACUGAGGAACUGCAUCAUGGUACAACAUACUUUCCUGUAGAGAUGAGUAACUCACACUCUGGAUCAGGAUAUAUCAAACAGCACAUGCAAAGAAGAGGUAGUAUAUUAUACCUAAUAUACUUGGCUGAAACAGCAAGAGAUUUCCGAAAAUACACUGCAUCUUUACAGUUUAGUAUUUUGUCAGACUGUAUCAGACAAUUCUAAUCAAACUUCAUAAAAGCUAACUGUUCCAGAACCUAAAAUGGAAAAGUAAAAGCUUUUUCCUGUUUUGUCUUCAAAGGAAGAAAAUGCGCUUUGUCCAAAAACAUUUCACUUAAUCUUGUGCAUCAACUACGGAUUUACUCUAUCAUACCAAUCCAUCGCCACAAAAAUUUGACAUUCCUAUAUAAAAACAAAACAUGUAUUAUUAGUGGUUUUCAAAAGACUUUGUGUCCAGCAACAUCUGCAGAGCAAUAGAUUUCACUUAGCCAGACCAGGAUCUUUUCUAACCACAAAACCAAGCAACAGAUGAAUUUCGAAAUAGCACAGGUCAGAUGCAUCACUUUUCCACGUGGAUAAAGCAAGAAGUGCACUUGACCAAAGUCAGCCAAACUACAUCAUAUCAGUCCCAUGACCCACACAGCUAUUUCAGUUUUACGAAUAAAUGUUUGUAGGAGAAAUAACAUUUAAAGUAGUGCUGACAACGUGGAUCUGCAGGAUACUCUUGCAAAUAAUAAACUGUGGACAAAGCCAUGUUAAAUUCACCUCAAAUCCUUACAACGCAUAUGAAGUUCACUUAUCACCUAAGUUAUUUUGUAACAUUAUAAAGUUGGAGACAAGUUAUUCACUCUCCUUUGGCUCUGAAAUGAGGUCAAAGUGCUGAAUCUGACCUCACAAUCUGUUACCCUGGAAGUUAUUGCAGCAUUCAGACAAAGAAAAGGUUUAUUAACCUAAUCGGAUUGCUUGUGAGAAAAUGUUUCCAUUCUCUUCCUGAAAGCAGCACAAGAUAUGCAGAAAAACUGGAAGCUCUGGCAGUGAGGAUUCUUUCUGCAGUUUAAUAUAGAACCAAGCAUAUUUCCAGUAAAGGCAAACAUGCUCUUUUUCAGUCCUUUGUUCUAAUAAUUGGCACAUCCUCCCUGCACCUCAUGCAAUUUUUAUUAGCACAGAAGUCUCUUAAAAAAAUAACCCUUAGAAUUAAAAGUCCAUUUACACUAGCAUUAUUUUUGGAAAUCUUAUUUUUAGCUAACGUAGCCCUGCUCUUCUAUUUAAAAACUUCAGCUUCUCUUCAAAAGUAACUGAUACAGAAGUGCAAGUUAUAAUACCAUCAAAACUUCAUUUGUAUAACCUGUGUAUCUACACUAGUUGCUGCCCAGUGCAGUUUAUUUGUACUCCACUGUGAGCUAGCACAGUACGUCAGUUUGCUCUCCAUAGGUAAAGGCUGCAUGAGUACCUACGUAAACCUCUGCUCUCCUGCCAACAACAGUGGCAACCUGGCAGUCUUGAAGAUUUCACUUGUACUGCUUAGAACUCAACUCCAUGAGGUAAAAUUCUUAUCACUAACAAAUAAACUACUUUUUUUUUUCUUAUUUCUUUAAUGAAGGCUGAGAAGAAAGUUUUCAGCCUUUCUGAAUGAUAUGUACAUAUUUAGCUUUAGAUCAAUUUUUUUCAGUGACACAUUAAAGCUCUCAGCUACAUCAUCUGCUUGUAAACAGUCAUCUCACACUGGAAAAGGUGAAGAACUUAAUAUCUUGUUUUGCAAAUAUUUGCAAACUGUGUCACUUAUCCAAAGGAACACAAAUAUCUAAGUGUAUCUUUGCUAAGAGGUUAAAUACAGCUCUUUCCAGGGCUGCACACUGAUGAAGUUGGGUUCUAUACAACAUACUUGCACAAUUUUAGUUAACCCUGUUCUAUACUACAGGGCCUUCAAUUCCUGCUCAGUCAAAUAAUUGCAGGCAUUCAACAUCAGGCAAUGUGACCAUUCUUUUGUACAAACAUACAAACAAAUAAAAACCCAUUCCAUUCCUCAGGAUCCUUAAAUUAAGAGAGGCGCCUUUAACAGAAGUUGAAAACCUGCAUUCAUUUUUACAUUUAUUUCACAUGCAUGCCUUCAUCUGAGCAUUUGGAGACGAUAUCUCCAUUUCACACUUAGCAAGUCGCAAGCAAAAAACUAAGUUAAGAGAUCUGGAAUAAUGAAAUUUUUAGCCAUCCUCUUCCUCUCUCUGCAUAAUACUGUCUGGUGCAUGACUUGCAAAUAGCAUUCUGAGAAAGGUUUUGAAAUACUUAACAGAAAGAUCAUGUUCCUCAAUUCUUUGGGAGUCCGGCAUAGAAUUACAUUCACUCAUACUGAUCUUUCCCCUGCAAUCUUCAGCUUGGAGGAUGCAGAGAGAGGGAAAGUCUUUCAACAACAGCAUGAGUUGUUUCUGUGCGUGUCCUUUCUGGUCACUACAGCUUUCAUUUGUUUUCAGCUUUUCUGGUCUAUGGCUAGGCCACAUAAAAGGAAUGUCUAACAUCUUCAGGAUGAGAUUGCCAGAUUCAAGUAUUUUGAAGGAACUUUCAAAAAUACUGGCUUGUACUUAUACUCUUUGGAAAAAACACUUCAAAGUUCUCAAGAUUUUUCUGGAAUGUGAGUUGUAGACAUUCAGGUGCUUUAUCUUUCUCUGAGGAAGCUCUUAUGCUUCAACUUGAACUGCUCUUCUACAGCACAAUCAGCCAAGCUCUGUAAUCUGUACAGAAGAGCAAGGCGUUCAGUUUCAUGAACAAGAAAUACGCCUAGAAUACUGCUCUGAAUAUCACGGUAUCAGGCAGAGCAUGUAGACCUGCUUGAAAAAACAUUUUACCCCAGCAAA